rnacentral:rRNA from 1 species
ACGGAAGGCAGCAGUCGGGAGUAUUGCACAAUGGGGGAAACCCUGAUGCAGCGACACCGCGUAAAGGAAGAAGGUCUUCGGAUUGUAAACUUUUGUCGACAGGGAAGAAAGAUGACAGUACCUGUGGAGGAAGCCCCGGCUAACUACGUGCCAGCAGCCGCGGUAAUACGUAGGGGGCGAGCGUUAUCCGGAGUUACUGGGUGUAAAGGGCGUGUAGACGGGAACUUAAGUCUGAUGUGAAAUACCAAGGCUCAACUUUGGAACUGCAUCGGAAACUGGGUACCUAGAGUGCAGGAGAGGAAAGCGGAAUUCUCAGUGUAGCGGUGAAAUGCGUAGAUAUUGAGAGGAACACCGGUGGCGAAGGCGGCUUUCUGGACUGUAACUGACGUUGAGGCGCGAAAGCGUGGGGAGCAAACAGGAUUAGAUACCCUGGUA